rnacentral:rRNA from 1 species
UACGAAGGGGGCUAGCGUUGUUCGGAUUUACUGGGCGUAAAGCGCGCGUAGGUGGUCGUGCAAGUCAGGGGUGAAAUCCCAGAGCUUAACUCUGGAACUGCCCUUGAAACUGCACGGCUAGAAUCUCAAAGGGGGUGGCGGAAUUGCUAAUGUAGGGGUGAAAUCCGUAGAUAUUAGCAGGAACACCGAUGGCGAAGGCAGCCACCUGGCCUAGAACUGACGCUGAGGCGCGAAAGCGUGGGGAGCGAACAGG